rnacentral:rRNA from 1 species
GACAGAGGCCUCGAGCGUUAGGCGGAAUCACUGGGCUUAAAGCGUGUGUAGGCGGGCCCGUAAGUGUCUUGUGAAAUCCCACGGCUCAACCGUGGAACCGCUGGGCAUACUGCGGGUCUUGGGCCAACUAGGGGCAGCCGGAACAAGCGGUGGAGCGGUGAAAUGCGUAGAUAUCGCUUGGAACGCCGAAGGUGAAAACAGGCUGCUGGGGUUGCGCCGACGCUGAGACACGAAAGCCAGGGGAGCAAACGGG